rnacentral:rRNA from 1 species
CCCUACAGCUCUCGCCUGGUUUCCCACUGAAGCUAAGCAGGGUUGGGCCUGGCAAGUACCUUCAUGGGAGACAUCCAUGGGGAAACUAAGGUUGCUGCUGGAA